rnacentral:rRNA from 1 species
GAUGAACGCUGGCGGCGUGCCUAAUACAUGCAAGUCGAGCGAACGGACGAGAAGCUUGCUUCUCUGAUGUUAGCGGCGGACGGGUGAGUAACACGUGGAUAACCUACCUAUAAGACUGGGAUAACUUCGGGAAACCGGAGCUAAUACCGGAUAAUAUUUUGAACCGCAUGGUUCAAAAGUGAAAGACGGUCUUGCUGUCACUUAUAGAUGGAUCCGCGCUGCAUUAGCUAGUUGGUAAGGUAACGGCUUACCAAGGCAACGAUGCAUAGCCGACCUGAGAGGGUGAUCGGCCACACUGGAAUUGAGACACGGUCCAGACUCCUACGGGAGGCAGCAGUAGGGAAUCUUCCGCAAUGGGCGAAAGCCUGACGGAGCAACGCCGCGUGAGUGAUGAAGGUCUUCGGAUCGUAAAACUCUGUUAUUAGGGAAGAACAUAUGUGUAAGUACUGUGCACAUCUUGACGGUACCUAAUCAGAAAGCCACGGCUAACUACGUG